GUAGUGAAAUAUAGGGGAGUGGAAGAAACUAUUGGAGGCAGGAUCAUAGAUAGAGCGACAACCUAGGCUUUGGCUACUGAGGCUGAGUCUUUCCAACUACGAAUUGGAUGAGUGAUUCCAAUCGAUUCACAUCAGAAAUAGUUGGAUUGCUCAGUUCCGCGUACCCCGUAGCAUCCAACACCGAGCGGCGAGACCAGACAAGCGAUCCAGAGAUGAUAGUGAGGUUGUUAAUACUUAGGAGGUGCAUGUUUAGGGUGUUCAUGACACAACAAUCGAGACAGAUGCGACACAUGUUGUUGUUGAGGUUGUUGAUGAUGUGGUAGAUGAGGUGGUCCAGUCAAAUGUCAUUGUUGAUGAGGUGGAUGUCUCAUAGCCAGUCUCAUCUAUUACUACUAACACAAAGGUUACGACUUCGUCGACGGAGCCGUUUGUGCACACUGAUGGAGCGUUCCUGGGAGGACCCAUUGAUUAGUCGGUGCUUACCGAAUAUACUGAUCAUGUGGCAUAUCAACUAUGGCAGGGAGAGGACCGACCCACGUUGAAGGUGACCUCCCACGGGUCGAAGAUGAAGAACUUCUCGAAAACUCUGAUGCCUGAGCAGCUUUUAUUGAGCGAUGACACAAGGAGGCAUCUUCCUUUCAUCCUCCAUUUGAGGAGAUGAUUGUCACUUUCGAUGAUGUCUCUUCAUUGUUCCAUAUCCCCAUCACCGACAAAUUCUUUACAGCUAUUGUUAUUAGCUCGUCUCUUGCAUGUUUGUCUGAUGUACGAGAUUUGGAGUUUCUGAUGAGGUCGUGUUGGAGGAGUUUGACUUUAACAGUGGCGCUUACCUUCGUAUUUCUUGGCUUUAGGAUAGGUAUGAGUAGCUUGUUAAGGCACAAAUGUAUGAGGCUUCCGCUAGGGUGUACAUGUUACAUCUAGUAGCAUGUACUCUCUUUGCGGACAAGUCAAGUGUUUAUAUCGACGACCGAUACAUGUGGUUAUUCAGUAGCCUUAACGAUACCAGUUGAGCUUAGGAGUGUGUUGUGUUGACCAUCAUAUAUUCAAUAAUUGACGUUGUGACAACCUUUGAGACCAAACAUCUUGUUGGUUAUUUGAGUCUAUUACAUGUAUACUUGAAAUUAUUAUUUGUUGUUUAGUUCUUAUUUAAUUAUUAUGAAUAACACUUAUUAAUUAUCAUUUGUUGUGUCUCUGUUAUGAUAUUAAUGUUGGAUAUACGAGCAUUUCUCUGCCAUCUAUGAUAAGAGGAUAUAGCAUUCCCCUAUGGGGGCUCCACGGGAGAGGAAAUGGAAGGCCAAGUUGGCACAUCCCGAUGGUGUUGCGGAGUACAGGAGGAGGCUUGAUGCACUGACUGUAGAUGAUGUCAUCUGGACACCAUGCACUAAUCACAGAGUCCAUCGUGAGUUUGAUAAUUCUUCUUUAUAUUCUUGUUAUAUGUGGUGGGAGACUUUAGUCGCUAAGCACU